ACCUGGAUGGCUCAGUUGGUUAAGCAUCUGACUUUAGCUCAGGUCAUGAUCUCACGGUAUGUGAGUUCGAGCCCCACCUCGGGCU
rfam:Felis catus isolate Cinnamon breed Abyssinian chromosome D3, whole genome shotgun sequence.